CGGCAUGCCUAACACAUGCAAGUCGAGCGAGAAAGCCCUCCGGGUGUGAGUACAGCGGCGCACGGGUGAGUAACACGUGGGUAAUCUGCCCUCUAGUUUGGGAUAACUCUUCGAAAGAAGGGCUAAUACCGGAGAGACCACAAAAGCAUAAGCUUUAGGGGUUAAAGGUGGCGCAAGCUAUCGCUAGAGGAUGAGCUCGCGGUCUAUUAGUUUGUUGGUAGGGUAAUGGCCUACCAAGGCUUUGAUGGAUAUCUGGUUUGAGAGGAUGAUCAGACACACUGGAACUGAGACACGGUCCAGACUCCUACGGGAGGCAGCAGUGGGGAAUUUUGCACAAUGGGCGAAAGCCUGAUGCAGCAAUGCCGCGUGAGGGAAGAAGGUUUUCGGAUUGUAAAUCUCUGUCGGCAGGGAAAAACGGCUCGAUGGUUAAUACCCAUUGGGAGUGAUGGUACCUGCAAAGGAAGGGGCGGCUAACUCUGUGCCAGCAGCCGCGGUAAUACAGAGGCCCCAAGCGUUGUUCGGAAUUAUUGGGCGUAAAGCGGGUGUAGGUGGCUAUGCAAGUCGGAUGUGAAAUCCCUGGGCUCAACCCAGGACGUGCGUUCGAUACUGCGUGGCUAGAGUGCGGUAGAGGAAAGUGGAAUUCCUAGUGUAGGGGUGAAAUCCGUAGAUAUUAGGAGGAAUACCAAAGGCGAAGGCAGCUUUCUGGCCCGCAACUGACACUCAGACCCGAAAGCGUGGGGAGCAAACAGGAUUAGAUACCCUGGUAGUCCACGCCGUAAACGAUGGAUGCUUGUCGUUGGAGGAUUGAAACUUUCAGUGACGGAGUUAACGCGUUAAGCAUCCCGCCUGGGGAGUACGGUCGCAAGAUUAAAACUCAAAGAAAUUGACGGGGACCCGCACAAGCAGUGGAGCAUGUGGUUUAAUUCGACGCAACGCGAAGAACCUCAUCCUGGUUUUGACAUCUACUGGACGGCUCAUGGAAACAUGGCUUUCCCUUCGGGGACUGGUAGACAGGUGCUGCAUGGCUGUCGUCAGCUCGUGUCGUGAGACGUUGGGUUAAGUCCCGCAACGAGCGCAACCCACGCCCCUUGUUGCCAUCAUU
rnacentral:rRNA from 1 species